rnacentral:rRNA from 1 species
GCUUAUGACUAUAUUGUAUUGAAAGGACUGGUUCUUGUCUGAUCACCAAAAUUAAUCACCAUUGAGCCUUAUUAGCAUUUACAAGGGUAACUACCUAGGAAACCUAGAUGCUAUAGGAA